rnacentral:rRNA from 1 species
CCUACGGGUGGCAGCAGUGGGGAGUAUUGGACAAUGGGGGGAACCCUGAUCCAGCCAUGCCGCGUGUGUGAAGAAGGCCCUCGGGUUGUAAAGCACUUUCAGUGAGGAAGAACGCCUGGUGGUUAAUACCCAUCAGGAAAGACAUCACUCACAGAAGAAGCACCGGCUAACUCCGUGCCAGCAGCCGCGGUAAUACGGAGGGUGCGAGCGUUAAUCGGAAUUACUGGGCGUAUAGCGCGCGUAGGUGGCUUGAUAAGCCGGUUGUGAAAGCCCCGGGCUCAACCUGGGAACGGCAUCCGGAACUGUCAAGCUAGAGUGCAGGAGAGGAAGGUAGAAUUCCCGGUGUAGCGGUGAAAUGCGUAGAGAUCGGGAGGAAUACCAGUGGCGAAGGCGGCCUUCUGGACUGACACUGACACUGAGGUGCGAAAGCGUGGGUAGCAAACAGGAUUAGAUACCCCUGUAGUC